GACGAAUGCUGGCUGCGUGCUUAACACAUGCAAGUCGAACGGUGAAGGGGAGCUUGCUCCCCGGAUCAGUGGCGAACGGGUGAGUAACACGUGGGCAACCUGCCCCUCACUCUGGGAUAACUCCGGGAAACCGGGGCUAAUACCGGAUACGACCGGGAGCGACAUCGCUCCUGGUGGAAAGAACUUCGGUGAGGGAUGGGCCCGCGGCCUAUCAGCUAGUUGGUGGGGUAACGGCCCACCAAGGCGACGACGGGUAGCCGGCCUGAGAGGGCGACCGGCCACACUGGGACUGAGACACGGCCCAGACUCCUACGGGAGGCAGCAGUGGGGAAUAUUGCGCAAUGGGCGAAAGCCUGACGCAGCGACGCAGCGUGAGGGACGAAGGCCUUCGGGUUGUAAACCUCUUUCAGCGGGGACGAAGCGAAAGUGACGGUACCCGCAGAAGAAGCACCGGCUAACUACGUGCCAGCCGCCGCAGUAA
rnacentral:rRNA from 1 species